GUUGAUUGGGAAACUCAUCAAAUUUUUAUGAAAUACCGAGACAAGCUUAGCCGCCCAAUGGCGGGCCUCAUCCCCCUCGGGGGAGGCUGCUACAGCCCGGAGGAUUACAAAGGACGGCGAGCACUCAAAUCCUGUCAUUCGGAGUUUCAUCACAUCCUUUGGUGUGG
rnacentral:sRNA from 1 species